AGGAAUUUCAGCAUCAUAUUUUCUAGAAUGAUGUGUUAAUAAAUCCUAUCAUGCACACGGCAAAACCUUUAAAAUACUGUUAAAAUAAAAAUCCUCCAGAAAAUAUAUUCAGAGGUAAAAAGCUAGUGCUCUGUGGAUGUCAAGCAUGUGAAGAGAAUCCUCUCUGUUGUUGGCAUGUGGUUUCAGGAAAAACACAGGACAUCGAUGCCAAGUGUCUUUAAGGUGGCACAGGAGCCCUUUGGACACAUUGGUGGAUUCUGAAAACAGUUUCUGACCCUCAAAAGGUAGGUCCUCAACUGUAGUCUGUACCUUCCUUGGAAAUCCUGAGGUGGAGCCAAGAUGCCUGAUGCAUGACUAUAGGGUCACAAUGGAGCGUGCUGCUGUGUCCGUGGAAUCGAGAGAGGCUUGGGGGGCCAUCUUUG